ensembl:lncRNA
AAAACAAAAAGGCCUUAGAAGACAAGUGUAAUGCAUUGAGGUCUGUGAAAGCAAUCAAGGAAGCAAAAGUCAAACAGCUGAAGGAGAAAGCACAUAUCCUUGAAGAAUUCUAUAAACAAAGAAGAGUGGCUGCAGAAGAGAAACUGAAAAUGGCACAAUGUGAACUGGUGGCAAUUGAGAAUCAACUUGAAGCUACGGAGGAAAAUUUGAAAAUAGCUGACGAGGAAAUAUACAAGUACAAGCAGCAAAUUGAACAAACACAAGAACAGCUGCAGCAGGCAGAGCUCACCUUCAGACACCAGAUUGCAGUUCAUGAGAAGAAUGCUCAGCACAACUUGAUCAAGACUCAGAUCUGGGACAGGGAGAUGGCAGAACAGAGCAGGGAGGUCGCCCACUUGAAACAGGUGUGGGAGCUUGACGUGUGUUUUUUUUUUUUAAUUUUCUUUUUUUUUUUUCAACAUUUAUUUAUUUCUGGGAUAGAGAGAGACAGAGCAUGAAUGGGGGAGGGGCAGAGAGAGAGGAAGACACAGAAUCGGAAACAGCUCCAGGCUCUGAGCCAUCAGCCCAGAGCCUGACGCGGGGCUCGAACUCACGGACCGCGAGAUCGUGACCUGGCUGAAGUCGGACGCUUAACCGACUGUGCCACCCAGGCGCCCCUUGACGUGUGGUUUUAUGGGUAUUUCAAGGGAUGCCAGCUGUGCUGUUUAGUAUCUAGUAGAGGAUGUGGUGUUGUAACUCUUCAGAAGUCCAUCCUUUUUCUGUAUCCAAGACUGGAUGUUAUGGAAGGAAAGAGGCUGCCUGAGGGACACAUGAGACAGAAACCAAUGCCUGGAAGACCAAAGAUGCAGAACCCUCCAAGGAGAGGUAAGGAGCACAUUGUGACAUGCACUGGCCUAAUUUCUGCUGCAAAGCCUGUUCCUUUCAGUGAUCAUUGUGUGGCCUGGACAGAACCACAAGCACUACCUAAGGAUAGCAGGUGGUCUGAAGGGGUGACAGGAGGGUGUUCUCCUCUGGUGCCCUAGCAGCACUGCUAAAUUUCUGUAGUUUUCCUUUUCUCAUUAGUAUAAGAUUAGUCUAAGUACAUUUCUAUUCAGACAUAGUUAUAAAAUAACUGCUCACAUGUAGAAGGCAGCUUACAUAUAAGCUGAAGGAUUGAACAAUCCACCUGGAGCCAGAAGAAACACACACGUUCUCUUUCGUUGAGGGUUCUUUGAUGUUAUCCGCCAAUCGAUACUCUCAUUUGUAUUCUUUUUUUUUAGUUAAAUUUUUAAUGUUUAUUUACUUUGUAGAGAGAGAGUGUGAGUGGGGGUGGGGCAGAGAGAGAAGGAGACACAGAAUCUGAAGCAAGCUCCAGGCUCUGAGCUGUCAGCACAGAGCCCGACGUGGGGCUCGAACCCACGGACUGUGAGAUCAUGACCUGAGCCAAAAUCAGAUGCUUAACGGACUGAGCCACCCAGGCAUCCUCAUUUUUGUUCUUAAUCGGUAAUGGAAUAGUGAUUUCCCAUGAUGUACACUGAGAAACCUCUGUCUUAGUGAUGACUUCUAGAUUGCUAGUUGAGCCUGACCUGACCAGUUAUUUGAUUAAUUACAAAACAACAUGAACUAAGGCAACAUGAGGUCUUUAUCAAGGUGAGGGGAUGGUUCUCCCCCUUAUCCUUGGGGGUCACCUGAGGCAUGUGGGAUACCCUCUGCCUCUGGUCAGGGACCUGCGUGUAGGGAAAAAUUUAAGAUAUUUGAGGAAUGAGAGGAGAGAUUGUUUUCAUUCCGCACAGUCCUCUAAAAGCAGAAUAAACCUCUAUCCCUUCUAGGGCCA